AUACAUGAUAACUGUUUUAAACAUGUUUAUAUUUACCAGAUUAAUUACCCUGUUCAGUUCCAUGCCAUUGUAAUGCUCUUUCCGCGAGAUAAUCGUCAUUUUACCGCUCAAAAACUUCUCUGUACGGAACAUGCUGUUUGACGGACCGCUUCACUCAUCGACAUGCAAACGUAUUCUGACACUUAUUUUUGUGUUAUCAACAUUGUUGUAUGCUUUAUUAUAUCAUGUAUUAUUGUUUUUUGAUGCUGGCCACUAUUUUUCCGUAUUUUUACCUCAGUGAUUGCUUUUAUCUGUCACCUCGAUUGAUGAACUAUGUCUUCGUAGCGAACUUCCAUAUUCAAGUGUAUCGCUACGCGCACUACUUCAGAAGGCGCUUAAUUUCAAAAUUACUUUAGUGUAAAAUAUCGCAAGAAUGUGUAUUAAAGCUAUAUGCGUAUUUUGAUUUAGAAAUAUGUGUCCGUGUAAUUAAAUUAACCCGGACAAUGCUUUGCAUAGGAAUAAAAUGUUUAUUUAUUAUUUAAAUAUGCUUGUUCGGAAAUUAGGAAACUUGUCCGGAAUGUCAAAAAUCCGUACAGAUUUUUGAUUGGUUGUUUGUGUCCGGACAGAAAAGGACAAGUACUCAUUGGUUGGAGAAGGUUAUAAAUAUAGGCUAGUUUCAGCAGCAGUAUCACUUGAUCACUCGAUCAUAUCCCGUUCGGUUGAGCACUCCUCUGAGAACUACAUAAGACGUAGAUAAGCAAGAUGAACCUGGUCGUAGACAAUGCUAAUUUUUAUAAGGACUUUGUCGUCCGGACAGAAUCGGUAUAGUAUAGAAACCAUGUAGACCAGUCUUUCCCGAGUUUAAAGUUCUAGUUAUUAGUUAUGGUCUAUAAAAGGAACUGUUAUAUUAUUUGAACUGUUUCAAGUUUAGAAUUACGAGUUGUCCGGAUUGUUCGGAAUCCGUAAUAUUGUUGUUCGGAUUUUCUUAAUUCAUUAGUUCAAAUAGGUUAUUCAUUUUUAUAACGAGUUGUCCGGAUAAGGCUGACUAGAUUAUUUACAGUUUACUGGAAAUUAUGAAGACUUAAUAAGUAUACCUAGUACAAAAUGGGGAGGGGUGUGAUUUUACCAGAUAGAAUUAGACUGUGUGUGUCGAGUUUAGCUGUCCGGAUCGGCGCAAGUUUAUGCAUUUAAUAUUUAUUUUAUAUUCAGUACAAUUCUUAUACGCUGUUUGUUGUUGAUAUUGAGCUUGAGAACGACAAAUCCUGCAGAUACGAGAACUAGUAGCAUUUUCUUUAUUUCUAUGACGAGUUUUUAAACCGGUGAUAUCCCUGGGUUUCAGGUUGUAUUGUUUGAAAUGGUCAGCAUCUUAGUCUGUGUUGUGAUAUUGAUAUUUUGCCAUCCUGAAUAAAUUGUAGUGUGUUAG
rnacentral:sRNA from 1 species